rnacentral:rRNA from 1 species
GUGAGGAAUAUUGCGCAAUGGGCGAAAGCCUGACGCAGCAACGCCGCGUGGAGGACGAAGGCCUUCGGGUCGUAAACUCCUUUUCUGGGGAACGAGGAAGGACGGUACCCCAGGAAUAAGUCUCGGCUAACUACGUGCCAGCAGCCGCGGUAAAACGUAGGAGGCGAGCGUUAUCCGGAUUUACUGGGCGUAAAGCGCACGCAGGUGGCUUCGUAAGUCGGACAUGAAAGCUCCUGGCUUAACUGGGAGAGGUUGUUCGAUACUGCGGGGCUUGAGGUUGGGAGAGGGACGUGGAAUUCCCGGUGUAGUGGUGGAAUGCGUAGAUAUCGGGAGGAACACCAGUGGCGCAAGCGGCGUCCUGGCCCACACCUGACGCUGAGGUGCGAAAGCGUGGGGAGCAAACAGGAUUAGAUACCCGUGUAGUCC